rnacentral:rRNA from 1 species
AGUGAACGCUGGCGGUAGGCCUAACACAUGCAAGUCGAACGGCAGCACAGUAAGAGCUUGCUCUUACGGGUGGCGAGUGGCGGACGGGUGAGGAAUACAUCGGAAUCUACUUUUUCGUGGGGGAUAACGUAGGGAAACUUACGCUAAUACCGCAUACGACCUACGGGUGAAAGCAGGGGAUCUUCGGACCUUGCGCGAUUGAAUGAGCCGAUGUCGGAUUAGCUAGUUGGCGGGGUAAAGGCCCACCAAGGCGACGAUCCGUAGCUGGUCUGAGAGGAUGAUCAGCCACACUGGAACUGAGACACGGUCCAGACCCCUACGGGAGGCAGCAGUGGGGAAUAUUGGACAAUGGGCGCAAGCCUGAUCAAGCCAUACCGCGUGGGUGAAGAAGGCCUUCGGGUUGUAAAGCCCUUUUGUUGGGAAAGAAAAGCAGCAGGUUAAUACCCCGCUGUUCUGACGGUACCCAAAGAAUAAGCACCGGCUAACUUCGUG